AUUGAACGCUGGCGGCAUGCCUCACACAUGCAAGUCGAACGGUAACAGGUCUUCGGAUGCUGACGAGUGGCGAACGGGUGAGUAAUACAUCGGAACGUGCCUAGUAGUGGGGGAUAACUACUCGAAAGAGUGGCUAAUACCGCAUGAGAUCUACGGAUGAAAGCAGGGGAUCGCAAGACCUUGUGCUACUAGAGCGGCCGAUGGCAGAUUAGGUAGUUGGUGGGAUAAAAGCUUACCAAGCCGACGAUCUGUAGCUGGUCUGAGAGGACGAUCAGCCACACUGGGACUGAGACACGGCCCAGACUCCUACGGGAGGCAGCAGUGGGGAAUUUUGGACGAUGGGCGCAAGCCUGAUCCAGCAAUGCCGCGUGCAGGAUGAAGGCCUUCGGGUUGUAAACUGCUCUUGUACGGAACGAAAAGCCCUGGGUUAAUACCCUGGGGUCAUGACGGUACCGUAAGAAUAAGCACCGGCUAACUACGUGCCAGCCGCCGCCGUAA
rnacentral:rRNA from 1 species